rnacentral:lncRNA from 1 species
UAUAUUUUAUGCUGAUUUAAUGUAAAUCCAAUCUUUUCAAAUAUUCAUAUAUAAUAUAAUUAUAAAUCCGAUUCGAUUCAAAAUACUCGUAACUCAACAGCCUCGACUAUGACUAGCGUUUAACCCCCAUUGACGGGAUCCACUGAAUACUAGCGCACAACCCCCACUGACAGAGUCCACCAAACACCAGCGCACAACCUCCA